AGUUUGGAGGACGCAGAUGUCACCACUACUUCUUUUAAAAAAUCAAAUAAAGAUGGAAGACUAACAUUGUUGUACUUAAGUACAAUAAUUACAGUGAUAACGUUGUUUAGAGUCAAUAUAGAAUAGCAUAAAAUCCAUUAAGGACUGCUUUAAAAAUGUGUCUCGUUGCAUAAGAAAGAAAUUUUUAUAUGGGAAAAGAGCUCCUUAAAGUAUACUAUAUAAAAUAUGUAGACAAAUUUCGAUAACUUUUCUUAGGCGUUACGAUAUACUUCAAGAAUACCAAUUUAGGAACGAAACGACGACAAGAACGACAACGACUUAGAAACUACUAUUAAAACGACAACGACAACGGGACCGAGCAUUCUUUGGAGCUCUUUUUGAGUUCCGAAACGAGAGCAGAGGGAGUAAUCUUCUUUGUCUCCAGAGAGAGCACGAACAAUAACAGAAAUCCGACGCACAAAAAUUUAAACAAUGUUGUAAAUAGUUGAAAAUUUUUUAUAAAUUUUUUCAUUUUUAAGAUAUGUAUAAGAAAUAGUAAUUCACUUAACAAAAAUAGUUAUGAUAAUUCAAAAUCCUGCUAAUAGUGGGUAAACAGUAUACUGAAACUCCAACACAUUCAAAGCAAUUUUAAUAACACCACUACAUACACACAAAUGUAACAAAGGGCAAAAUGUGCAUGAACAUUUACCUCAACUCUUCUCUCGUACAGCACCCGGAAUGAUAGAAAAAAACAACCAAAGUUCUCGUGAUCUGCAGCCUAAUUAAAGUUUAAAUUAUUGAAGCACGCAUUUUUAAAUAAGUAAAACGUAAAAUAGUUUUUUAAGGCCAAAAUAUGGAAUUGAAGAGGGUGAUACAGUAAUACUUCCUCGCACUGUCAAUUCAAAGCUACGCCAACAAUGGUCAACAUCAAGGGCGAAACCAUUGAAUACGUACAUAACCUAAUUGGUGUCACUUAUGGUAGCAGCGAAGAACUCUCGAAGGGAUAGAAAUAUGUGCUACAAGCAAAUCUAGAACUAUGGACGCAAACGCUGCUACAUCGAAGUCAAACCAUUUACGCACUAUAUAUUAGUAUGAUAGUCUUUCAAUUUGAAAUUCGUUCUGGUUCAGUUAUAUGUAGGUUAAUCGGAACUAGUUCAGGUCCAAUGCCACAUUUUUUAUAUGCAAUUAAACCAUUUGGCCAUCUACAUACAUACACUUGACAUCCACGAAGUGCGAGUGCAACAAGCACGUGAAGUAUUGGAACGGCAUGGUUUAGGUGAUUUUGUAACCGUUUAUCAUCAAGUCGUGUGUCAACUCGGUUUUGCCAAUGAGCUAGAGUGCAUUCUAGCAGAGAGCAGUAUUUUUGGACUUACCGGCACCUCAGUUGGCCGUACCAUUAGCAGCUAAAACAUAGAAAUCAGAAGGCAAAUUUAAGUGAAUGUUUGUGAUCACAGAAAUUAAAAAACUUCUUGUAUAUUUAAUUAGGAGGACUUUUUUGAUUCAUUUUCACCUGGGAUUGAGGAAUCAUAACGUUGUUGUAUCGUUUACAAGGCCAUGGAUUCACCGAAAUUAUUUCAAUGGAAUUACUACAGCAAGAGCAUGAAUGUUAAGGUUAGAACGUUGUCCGUGAUUGAUUUAGAAUUCCUGAAACAUAAGAAACCCUCCUCCCAGAAAUUGGGCGAAUCUAGUACUAGUGAAAUUAAUGAGAGAACAGAACUUACAAAAACUCCUAAAGAAACUAAAAGAGUUCUCACAUUAUGUGCGCACCUUACACAUACAGGCCGCACGGGGUAU